rfam:Pyrenophora tritici-repentis Pt-1C-BFP supercont1.9 genomic scaffold, whole genome shotgun sequence.
GGCACCAUGGCCUAAUGGUAAGGCGUUGCUUUCCGGUUUUCGGUAUAUGGCAAAGAUUGUGGGUACGUAUCUUCAAUCACCUCUUUAUGAUCUGGACAUUGUGCUAAUAUCAGUAUCAGGUUCGAGUCCCACUGGUGUCG